rnacentral:misc_RNA from 1 species
GCUGAAGCUGAUCCGCGCCCCCAGCUGCUGCCCGGUCUCCUCCCGGAUCCCCGCCGCCGCCGACGCGAAGUUCACGCCGGUCAGCAGCUGGUCGCUGCUCGCGCCGGCGAACGGCGGGAUGAAGUCCUCGAACCCCAGAAGCUUAGAGAUGACGUCGACGGUGGUGAGGCCGUUGCUGAAGCGGCCGGUGGCGGCGCCGCCGGCGAAGUCGAUGCCGUAGGGCGGGUAGUUGGCGCGGGCCAGCGACACGA